UGCCCGUGAAACUGCGAAUGGCUCAUUAAAUCAGUUAUCGUUUAUUUGAUAAUACCUUACUACUUGGAUAACCGUGGUAAUUCUAGAGCUAAUACAUGCUGAAAAUCCCGACUUCGGAAGGGAUGUGUUUAUUAGAUAAAAAACCAAUGCCCUUCGGGGCUCUUUGGUGAUUCAUGAUAACUUUACGGAUCGCAUAGCCUUGCGCUGGCGACGGUUCAUUCAAAUUUCUGCCCUAUCAACUUUCGAUGGUAAGGUAUUGGCUUACCAUGGUUUCAACGGGUAACGGGGAAUUAGGGUUCGAUUCCGGAGAGGGAGCCUGAGAAACGGCUACCACAUCCAAGGAAGGCAGCAGGCGCGCAAAUUACCCAAUCCCGACACGGGGAGGUAGUGACAAUAAAUACUGAUACAGGGCUCUUUUGGGUCUUGUAAUUGGAAUGAGUACAAUUUAAACCUCUUAACGAGGAACAAUUGGAGGGCAAGUCUGGUGCCAGCAGCCGCGGUAAUUCCAGCUCCAAUAGCGUAUAUUAAAGUUGUUGCAGUUAAAAAGCUCGUAGUUGAAACUUGGGCCUGGCUGGCGGGUCCGCCUCACCGCGUGCACUCGUCCGGCCGGGCCUUCCUUCUGAAGAACCUCAUGCCCUUCACUGGGCGUGUUGGGGAAUCAGGACUUUUACUUUGAAAAAAUUAGAGUGUUCAAAGCAGCCUUUGCUCGAAUACGUUAGCAUGGAAUAAUAAAAUAGGGCGUGCGUUUCUAUUUUGUUGGUUUCUAGAGACGCCGCAAUGAUUAACAGGAACAGUCGGGGGCAUCAGUAUUCAGUUGUCAGAGGUGAAAUUCUUGGAUUUACUGAAGACUAACUACUGCGAAAGCAUUUGCCAAGGAUGUUUCAUUAUCAGUGACGAAAGUUAGGGGAUCGAAGACGAUCAGAUACCGUCGUAGUCUUAACCGUAAACUAUUGCCGA
rnacentral:rRNA from 1 species